rnacentral:rRNA from 1 species
GGAUAACGCAGCGAAAGUUGCGCUAAUACCGCAUACGUUCUACGGAAGAAAGUGGGGGAUCGCAAGACCUCAUGCUUUUGGAGCGGCCGAUGUCUGAUUAGCUAGUUGGUGGGGUAAAGGCUCACCAAGGCGACGAUCAGUAGCUGGUCUGAGAGGACGACCAGCCACACUGGAACUGAGACACGGUCCAGACUCCUACGGGAGGCAGCAGUGGGGAAUUUUGGACAAUGGGCGCAAGCCUGAUCCAGCAAUGCCGCGUGAGUGAAGAAGGCCUUCGGGUUGUAAAGCUCUUUUGUCAGGGAAGAAACGGCUCCGGCUAAUAUCCGGGGCUAAUGACGGUACCUGAAGAAUAAGCACCGGCUAACUACGUGCCAGCAGCCGCGGUAAUACGUAGGGUGCAAGCGUUAAUCGGAAUUACUGGGCGUAAAGCGUGCGCAGGCGGUUUUGUAAGUCUGACGUGAAAGCCCCGGGCUCAACCUGGGAAUUGCGUUGGAGACUGCAAGGCUUGAAUCUGGCAGAGGGGGGUAGAAUUCCACGUGUAGCAGUGAAAUGCGUAGAGAUGUGGAGGAACACCGAUGGCGAAGGCAGCCCCCUGGGUCA